rnacentral:lncRNA from 1 species
AUAAAUUGCCAUUUCUUUCUUUAGGCUGGCGAGAUUUCAACAACUUUUCAAAAUAAAACGCCUUUCCUCUCUUCAGGCGGGCUCCUGACCUCAACAACAACUUUGAAAACAUUCCUUUCUUUUGGCUGGCGAGAUUUCAACAACUUUUAAAAAUAAAACGCCUUUCCUCUAUUCAGGCGGGCUCCUGACCUCAACAAAAACUUUGGAAAAUAAAUCGCCAUUCCUCUCUUCAGGCGGGCUCCUGACCUCAACAACAACUUUGAAAAUUAAAUGCCAUUCCUUUCUUUAGGCUGGCGAGAUUUCAACAACUUUUAAAAAUAAAACGCCUUUCCUCUCUUCAGGCGGGCUCCUGACCUCAACAACAACUUUGAAAAUAAAAUGCCAUUCCUUUCUUUAGGCUGGCGAGAUUUCAACAACUUUUAAAAAUAAAACGCCUUUCCUCUCU